UAAUGAAGUGGGGUUUCGAAAACAAGAAGACGGGCGGCUGGAUCAGCACGCGCGUUUCCUUGUCUUCGGAACCCCAUUGUUGAUUAAGAUUCAGUUUAAAACCUUCAAUUCAUCUUGCAAAUUCAAUGCUUGUUUCCUCGUUCUUGCUAGUUCUUCGAUUGCUUGCAGGACGGGAGCCCUAGGGGCUGGUUGUCGCGCUCCACAAGAUCGUGACGGCUGUUGGACGUGGUGUAUCGGUUGCUAAGGCGCGGUCUUGAGGGCUGUAGUCGGGCCGUGAACGUCAUCUCCAUCCACUAAUCGAGUUAUCCAGCGCCUCUCAUCGAAAGAUCAGGCCAAAAACCCUAGCGGGUUCGCAUCAGUUGGUAUCAGAGCAAGGUUUAUCGGUGAGAGAUUUCCAAUUCUUCGCGUUUGUUUUUCCUAUAGUCCAAAAAAAGCCAAAAAAUAUAGCAGAUUUGUUUUCCAUAAUCCUAUAAAUCCUUUGUGCCGUGGCUAGUACUACUUAGUUAGGGCUGGUUGAAUGAGUGUUUGCUUCGGUCGUGUCCAGUGCUGGUUUUAGUUUAGUCCUUUAGAGUUUUGAGUUCUUGUCACCAUAGUCACAACUGCGUCCAAUCUAUUGUGGGUUGGAAUUUGAGUAGAUCUUGAUAAUAGGUGCAGCCACUUGUUGGUCUAUUCUGCGUUUCCAUCAACGUGAUCCAAAAGGAAAGAUAGCACUUCAUACUUGUGCUAGAUAUAUUGAAUUUUGAGGUUCAGCCUUACUCUAGUGAGAGGGUGAGAGUGGUGAAGUGAUAUUUUGUACUAUUUUGUUUAUAUAAUCGGGUUUUGAGGUCCCCCAAAAAAAAAGAAAAGAGAAAGAAAAAAAUAAAGAAAAAAAAAGAAAGAAAGAAAAAAAAAUUAAAAAAAGGGGAUUGUUGUUCCUUUUGUUUCCAGUAGGGCUGCUCAUUUUGUUUCUAGUGGUGUGCUGUGUUUUCCCUUUGUGUCCAGGCUCGCGUAUCUAGCACGGUCUAGGCUAGGACCAGCACAGUACCAUCGUCGAACGCUUAUUCAGCUCGCUUUUAUAACUAACGUGGUGCUAGUUCGUUCCGUGUUUCAGCCCACCUAUAGCUCCACAUACUCUACAGCUUGACAGGUCUUGUGCUGCAGCACCGAUACACUUCGUCCAUUGCUGUACACUUGUUGGCAGACGACCCCUCCUGUCAAGCAAGGUAAGAAUUGGUAAGAACUUGUGUUACAGGUUGAGUGUGAGCGACUUGCUGUAGCUACAUCCUAGUAGUUGUAGGGCUUUUAUUUCUUCACUUGCCUUUUUGUUGUCUUUGUCUUUGAACCAUGCCAGGGGCAGAUGAUGGUAACGAAACACCACUUACACCUCGCACUAAGGGCAUCAUACAACAUUUUGAAAGGAAAGUGAAGCUGCACACAGAGGGACUUGAUAACGACUUGCAGGUGACGAAUGAAAAGCUGGG
rnacentral:lncRNA from 1 species